ACACCCUGACAAACCCGGCCCCCACGCGCAGCCCAAGCCGGCUCCGCGCAGCCGGGAGCUCGCCGGCCGCCGGGCCUCGGCCCCCGGCCGCCAAGGAGAGCGGAGCGGAGCCCGCGCCGCCGGCCGGUCGCCCCGCUCCGGGGGACACUUUAAGGGAAAAACCCCAGCACCCAAUCCCCACGCUUGCACCCCGAGAGUCCCCGGGGAGCGGGAGGUAGCCCCGGAGCCAGCGGGCGCCUGGCUCUGGCCCCAAACUUACCGGGCGCUGCGAGCGCCGCUGCCGCCGCUGGAGGACGCGCCGCCGCCACCGCCGGGUAGGGCAGGCUCGGGCCGGGAGGAGCGCAGCGAGGGCGCCGAGAUCCGCUCGGCUCCGGCUCCUGCUCCGCGCCGGCUGGGGCUGGGGUCACCGCGCUGCGCCGGCGUUGCUCGCUCGCUCGGCCGCCCGAUCGCUGCUCGCCCGCCUGCCGCCCGGCCGCCCGCUCUCCCCGGCGCCCGCCGCCGCCGCUCGCUUUUUUAAUGUCCACAGACAGUGAAAAGGAACUCGGCGUUAGGGGGCUGCCACCGUGUCGGAGGCGAGGCGAGGAAGGGAGCUGGAAUAACAAAGGGAGGUAAUGGGGUAGAUUGGAUACCUCUGGGGUCUUGGAAGAAGCUAUGACUUAUUUACUGUCUACUAUGUGGUGGAUGGUGUUUGAAGUGAAUUGAAUUAGGGGACACCCAGCUGGCAUCUGCUGCAGAACUGAUGACUCGCUUGCUGGUGGGCAGAAAUCUCCAUAAUCUUUCUUUAGCAGAUGAGGUCACUGAGGCUCAGAGAGGCUGAAGCCACUUGCUCAGAGCCGCACAGCAAGCCCACCACCCUGAACCUCCAGAUUACCAACUCAGCAUUGUGUCCUGACAGUGUCAUCAUAGAUGGUCAACACCGUCACCUGGGCAGCACUGAAGCCCAGAGCGGGAGAGACUGGCUCAAGACCAUGGGGAGCUCAGGAGGGGGAAUUGCACUGAAGAUUUGUCCCAUCGUGAAGCAAGAGCACUGGAACUUACACUCCACCAUCAGGCCCUGUCACAGGAGAACAAAGAAGGAAGGCAGAGGAGAUCAUGCUCCGGCCAGCAGGGAAUCUCCAUUUUUUUCAGCCUCAUACCUUGGAAAGUACAAAGGAGUGAGAGCUGGGACUACCAGCCAGAGGGUUCAUGGAGGUAGUGGGAGGGGAAGAUGGGUUCUGCAUGGAGCCACUCCAGGGACUUUUCUUCUGUCUCACAGCCUGACAAUCACCUCUAGCUGUUCUCAGUCCCAUUCUCAUCAAUGACCUCGUCUCCUGAUUUUGUACAAUAUCUAGGUGACCUUCUCUUCUUUCCAUCUUCAAACGCUUGAUCAUUGAUGCUCCCUUUUCUCUUCUCUCUCCUCCUGGGAAAAGAGAAGGACCAACAUCCCCCUUUCCCUUCCUCCUGUGCUGUCCCGACCCCUCUGAGACCUGGCUCUAGCAGUAAGUCCCUCUCUCUUCUGCAGCACCAGCCUCUGCCCAUCCCUGCCCUCUGCACACAAAGCUCUCACAUUGUCUGCACUUUAAGAACUUUUGUGGCAAACCCUGGCAAAUCCUGCCACUUGUUUCCACUCUUCUCAAAUGGCUUUGAGGUCAUCAUUGACCUAUCCCAUUUGACCCUGUCCUGUAUCUGAUGUUGUACCCUUUCUCCUUGAUCCCACUCUGGCAACUCUCCCACUCCCCUUUCUUGGAUCAACUGUCUUGCUCCUCAGUCUUGAUCAAUGCCUCCUUCUCUCUCUUUAGCCUUGGCCCUUUUUGGCCAGGGAAAUAAAUGUGAAAUACAUAAAGCUUCAUUUUAUCUUAUGAUUAUAGCUAUGUUGAUGUUACCCAAGACCUAAAAGUCACACUCUCUAAUUACACUUCCCUCCUGUGUUCUGGGUCCUCUUGGACCAGUCCUUACUCUGGCUCCCCUCCUGGAUGUCUCCCAGACUUCUAAUUAGAAUUACUGUUUCCUAUAUCAAGCUAAUUAUCUUUCCCACCAACCUCCUCCAUCCUUGGGUGAAAGCAUCACUUGGUUGCAAAAGUCAGAAAUCUGGGUUUCAUUCUUGCGGUAGGUAGAAUAAUGCCCCCAGGCCCCAGGUUUUGACAUCCGAAUCCCUGGGACUUUGCAGAUGUGAUUCAGUUUAGGAUUUUGAGAUGGGGAGAUUAUCUGGGAGAGCCUGAUGUCAUCAUAAGGUUCUUAUAAGAGGGAGGCAGGAGGGUUAGAGUGAGUAGUAAGAGAUGCAACAGUGGAAGCAAGAGGUUGGGGUGAUGUGGCCACAAGCCCAGGAGUGCUGACAGACAUCAGAAGCUGGAAGGGACAAGGAAUGGUUUCUCCUCUGGAGCCUCCAGAAAGAACCAGCCCUGCUGACACCUUGAUUUUAGCCUUGGAAGACUCAUUUUGGACUUCUGACCUUGAACGUUGUAAGAGAAUAAAUUUACAUAUUUUAAACUGGUA
rnacentral:lncRNA from 1 species